AAGACACAGAAGGUAACUGAAACAAUGUGGUUUAAGUCAAGGUGAUUAUUAGGGGUCCAAGCACAUUGGUUUGUGUAGAUGAUGCAGUUACACAAUGAACGUGUCUCUUUUCAAGUAAAUUAUGAGUCCUUAUGUGAGUACUAUUAUAUGCACAACAUGAAAAUAUAUAACUAAUAUAGUGUCCCUUCUACACUUUUUCCGUAAUGUGUGAUAACUUGAAAAAUAUGUUGUCAAUACAAUUAAAAUAACAAAGUAAUGGUAUUUAGGAGAUGAUAGCUUUUGCAUAAUUACUAUAUUGGGCUUUAUUAAAGUUUAUGAAAAAAGAAUGAAUGUUUAUGCAUUUUUUAUUUAUGCACAUAAAUGAAACAUUUUCAAGUCUUUGAACAGAUCUUGAAGUAUUUGCUAUCCUGUGGCGCCAUCGAGUGGAUAACAUUAGCAUUGUGGCCUUCAUUUUUGAACAACAUUAUGAAAGGGACCAAUAUUUUUUGAAUGAUUAUAAAUAUUUAAUGAUUAGUUUACUGAUAAUAUACCCACAUUAAAAUCUAAUUUACUGAUUCUGUGUCUUAUUUCAUGCUUAAUCAUGAGUUUAAUUUUCAAUUUACAUUUUUAAGCAGUGUUGAAUGAUUACUAUGUGAGUUGCUAUUUUUUUUUUUUUUUUGUUUUGUUUUUUUAUUUUUUUUUUUUUUUUUUUUUUUUAGGAUUUACAUUUAAAAAAAUGAGCCUACUUCAAACAUUUUAAGCAGCUUGAACAAAACCUGUUAAUAUUU
ensembl:lncRNA